GAUGAAGAACGUAGCGAAAUGCGAUAAGUAGUGUGAAUUGCAGAAUUCAGUGAAUCAUCGAAUCUUUGAACGCACAUUGCGCCCCUUGGUAUCCCGAGGGGCAUGCCUGUUCGAGCGUCAUUUCACCACUCAAGCCUGGCUUGGUGUUGGGCGACGUCCCCUUUGGGGACGCGCCUCGAAACGCUCGACGGCGUGGCACCGGCUUUAAGCGUAGCAGAAUCUUUCGCUUUGGAAGUCGGGGCCCCGUCUGCCGGAAGACCUACUCGCAAGGUUGACCUCGGAUCAGGCAGGGAUACCCGCUGAACUUAAGCAUAUCAAUAAGCGGAGGA
rnacentral:misc_RNA from 1 species